rnacentral:pre_miRNA from 1 species
GAGACGCCCUUAUGGGGUAAGACUUGCUUCAGUGGGGCUUUGGUGCUCACUGCGUCUGCCCCCUGAGUGUGUCCCU